AACGAACGCUGGCGGCGUGGAUAAGACAUGCAAGUCGAACGCUCAAUUUUCCGUAGCAAUAUGGGAAGUUGGGAGUGGCGCAAGGGUGCGUAACACGUGGAUCAUCUACCAGGAAGUUCGGAAUAAUCCCGAGAAAUCGGGACUAAUGCCGGAUGUGGCGGAAACGCUAAAGUUGGGGACCGCAAGGCCUGACGCUUCUUGAUGAGUCCGCGGCCUAUCAGCUAGUUGGCGGGGUAACGGCCCACCAAGGCGAAGACGGGUAGCUGGUCUGAGAGGACGACCAGCCUCACUGGAACUGAGACACGGUCCAGACACCUACGGGUGGCAGCAGUCGAGAAUUUUUCUCAAUGGGGGAAACCCUGAAGGAGCGACGCCGCGUGGGGGAUGAAGGGCUUCGGCCCGUAAACCCCUGUCAUUUGCGAACAAACCUCAUUCAAUAACACUGGGUGAGUUGAUUGUAGCGAAAGAGGAAGGGACGGCUAACUCUGUGCCAGCAGCCGCGGUAAUACAGACGGUCCG
rnacentral:rRNA from 1 species